rnacentral:sRNA from 1 species
AGUUUUCAAUAAUUAAUAAUCUUUAAUUUGUAGAAAGAUAGCAAAAGAACCUUUUUCUUGUUAAACUUUAUUGACUACAAAUGUUAUAUUCUUUGAGUCAUUUUUGUAACAUGUUUCAAAUAUGCAUCUACAUAUACAUUUUUGCAGUUAUUUUGUGAAAUAAAUCUUGGAGUUGGAACUUAUUUACAAUGGGAUGCCACUGAAUCUAUUACUUUAAAUUUAAUUGUGGAAAUUAUAACUACCAAAUAUGAAUUUAAUUUCAGAAAUAUUAACCAAAAACGAUUGUUACCAAAUAUCUAAACCAAUCCCUUUAGAUAGCAAAACAAUUAAAU